GAUUGACUACAAGUGUUGCCUUUGGUUUGAGAUCUGAGUACAAUUGACCUGAGUGAUUUCCACUGGAGCUGGGGCUUUAGAUUUGCUUUGGCUGGGAACAGGAAGAUUCCGUUCACUCUUGGUUCGACCUCCCUGUCCAGCAUCUGUCAUCUGGUAGGAUACCUUCUCCUGCAAAGAGGACCCCUCCCACCCUGAAUAAUGGAAGUCAAUUAAUAAAGGUGAGGAAGCUGUUGGAGGAAAAUCCCUCACCUUUCUAUCACUAGGAUGGAUAGAUGCCUGAAGGUAAAACCCGUGACGGUCCCUGACUGCCACUCAGAUGGAC